GGCCCUUUCGGGGGUACUCGAGUGGCGAACGGGUGAGUAACACGUGGGUGAUCUGCCCUGCACUUUGGGAUAAGCCUGGGAAACUGGGUCUAAUACCGAAUACACCCUGCUGGUCGCAUGGCCUGGUAGGGGAAAGCUUUUGCGGUGUGGGAUGGGCCCGCGGCCUAUCAGCUUGUUGGUGGGGUGAUGGCCUACCAAGGCGACGACGGGUAGCCGGCCUGAGAGGGUGACCGGCCACACUGGGACUGAGAUACGGCCCAGACUCCUACGGGAGGCAGCAGUGGGGAAUAUUGCACAAUGGGCGCAAGCCUGAUGCAGCGACGCCGCGUGAGGGAUGACGGCCUUCGGGUUGUAAACCUCUUUCAGCACAGACGAAGCGCAAGUGACGGUAUGUGCAGAAGAAGGACCGGCCAACUACGUGCCAGCAGCCGCGGUAAUACGUAGGGUCCGAGCGUUGUCCGGAAUUACUGGGCGUAAAGAGCUCGUAGGUGGUUUGUCGCGUUGUUCGUGAAAACUCACAGCUUAACUGUGGGCGUGCGGGCGAUACGGGCAGACUAGAGUACUGCAGGGGAGACUGGAAUUCCUGGUGUAGCGGUGGAAUGCGCAGAUAUCAGGAGGAACACCGGUGGCGAAGGCGGGUCUCUGGGCAGUAACUGACGCUGAGGAGCGAAAGCGUGGGGAGCGAACAGGAUUAGAUACCCUGGUAGUCCACGCCGUAAACGGUGGGUACUAGGUGUGGGUUUCCUUCCUUGGGAUCCGUGCCGUAGCUAACGCAUUAAGUACCCCGCCUGGGGAGUACGGCCGCAAGGCUAAAACUCAAAGGAAUUGACGGGGGCCCGCACAAGCGGCGGAGCAUGUGGAUUAAUUCGAUGCAACGCGAAGAACCUUACCUGGGUUUGACAUGCACAGGACGCCGGCAGAGAUGUCGGUUCCCUUGUGGCCUGUGUGCAGGUGGUGCAUGGCUGUCGUCAGCUCGUGUCGUGAGAUGUUGGGUUAAGUCCCGCAACGAGCGCAACCCUUGUCUCAUGUUGCCAGCACGUUAUGGUGGGGACUCGUGAGAGACUGCCGGGGUCAACUCGGAGGAAGGUGGGGAUGACGUCAAGUCAUCAUGCCCCUUAUGUCCAGGGCUUCACACAUGCUACAAUGGCCGGUACAAAGGGCUGCGAUGCCGUGAGGUGGAGCGAAUCCUUUCAAAGCCGGUCUCAGUUCGGAUCGGGGUCUGCAACUCGACCCCGUGAAGUCGGAGUCGCUAGUAAUCGCAGAUCAGCAACGCUGCGGUGAAUACGUUCCCGGGCCUUGUACACACCGCCCGUCACGUCAUGAAAGUCGGUAACACCCGAAGCCGGUGGCCU
rnacentral:rRNA from 1 species